rnacentral:rRNA from 1 species
UACGGAGGGGGCUAGCGUUGUUCGGAAUUACUGGGCGUAAAGCGUGCGCAGGCGGUUUGUUAAGACAGAUGUGAAAUCCCCGGGCUUAACCUGGGAACUGCAUUUGUGACUGGCAAGCUAGAGUAUGGCAGAGGGGGGGUAGAAUUCCACGUGUAGCAGUGAAAUGCGUAGAGAUGUGGAGGAAUACCGAUGGCGAAGGCAGCCCCCUGGGCCCAAUACUGACGCUCAUGCCAC